CCUACGGGAGGCAGCAGUGAGGAAUAUUGGUCAAUGGACGCAAGUCUGAACCAGCCAUGCCGCGUGCAGGAAGAAUGCCCUAUGGGUUGUAAACUGCUUUUAUUUAGGAAGAAACCCCCGAACGUGUUCGGGGCUGACGGUACUAUACGAAUAAGGACCGGCUAACUCCGUGCCAGCAGCCGCGGUAAUACGGAGGGUCCAAGCGUUAUCCGGAAUCAUUGGGUUUAAAGGGUCCGCAGGCGGAUUAAUAAGUCAGUGGUGAAAUCUCUCAGCUUAACUGGGAAACUGCCAUUGAUACUGUUAGUCUUGAAUUCGGUCGAAGUAGGCGGAAUGUGUCAUGUAGCGGUGAAAUGCAUAGAUAUGACACAGAACACCGAUUGCGAAGGCAGCUUACUAAGCCUGAAUUGACGCUCAUGGACGAAAGCGUGGGGAGCAAACAGGAUUAGAUACCCUGGUAGUCCACGCCGUAAACGAUGAUUACUCGAUAUCAGCGAUAUACUGUUGGUGUCUAAGCGAAAGUGAUAAGUAAUCCACCUGGGGAGUACGAUCGCAAGGUUGAAACUCAAAUGAAUUGACGG
rnacentral:rRNA from 1 species